AAACAAAUUAAAAAUUCUACAGAAAAACUCUCCAAUAAAUUCUGACAAAUAUAAAUGAUUAUUAUGAACUCAUGUUUAUUGUAGAUUAUGAUAAUUGAUAAACAGGAAUUUUGCUCAAAAUUAAAAUUGUCGCACUGUGAAGUUGAUUUGUUUGGUAUUGAAUUAGAGGAAAUUCAUAAAAUAUUCAGGUAUAAAUUUGCUCAUCAAACUCAAAGCAAAUCCACAUGUAAAUGAUGAGUGACACAUUCCUGAUCAGUCCUCUGAUAAAUGUAUUGAUCCAGUGAUAAACAGCAUCAUCAGAGUAAUCCAAGUCCCUGUUGGAGUCAGUCAGAGCAUUUCCAUAGAGAGCCACUUUGCAUCAGCAGCACCAUGCUCCAGUGCUCUGGGAGAGUUUAUAGUCCUGAGAGUCGAACACUGGAUGACUGACAGCUGUCCUUCAUGACAACAGAAGCCACAGAAAUCCUCCUCUUCAUCAAAAACAUGACUUUGACCUCCGUCCUCAUCUGGACUCUCCUCUGCUGCUGCUUCACAGAGUCCAGAGGUCAGGUCACAGUGACUCAGCCUGGAGCAGUGAGCUCUGCUCUGGGAGGCUCCGUCUCCAUCAGCUGUAGGACCAGUCAGAGCGUUUAUGUUGGGAGCUACUUGCACUGGUACCAACAGAGAGAUGGAGAAACUCCUAAACUGCUCAUUUAUAUAACUAGCGCUCGAGCAUCAGGGAUUCCAGAUCGUUUUUCAGGCAGUGGAUCAAACUCUGACUUCACUCUGACCAUCAGUGGAGUUCAGGCUGAAGAUGCAGCAGUUUACUACUGUCAGAGUUUUCAUGUCAUCAACAGUCAGUAUGUGUUCACACAGUGAAAAAGCGUCGUACAAAAACCUCCCUCAGUCAGACUGAACAGAAACUGAAGUGACUGCUGCAGCUGGAAGCUACUGCAGAGACUGAUACA